rnacentral:lncRNA from 1 species
UUAGACUAUGAAAUAGUUGAUAAAGUGACAUUGUGAAUAGGCAUCCAUGCAUUAUAGGGUUGAGGUUAGUUUGUGGCUAAAUGUGAACAAGUUGGUAUAUUUCCAAUGUAGAAAACAUGUGGAAUGAUAAGAACCAUGAAUAUAGUACCCUAUGAAUGUGUAAACUGAUAGUGGACUAUGACAAUAAUGAAUGGCUAAAAUGAAUGGCAAACGGGCUCUGUUGCCACCCAUUUGUUUUC